UACAGAGGGUGCAAGCGUUGUUCGGAAUCAUUGGGCGUAAAGGGCGCGUAGGCGGCCAUGCAAGUCGAAUGUGAAAGCCCAGGGCUCAACCUUGGAAGUGCAUCCGAAACUGCACGGCUAGAAUCUCGGAGAGGGUGGUGGAAUUCCCAGUGUAGAGGUGAAAUUCGUAGAUAUUGGGAGGAACACCGGUGGCGAAGGCGACCACCUGGACGAAGAUUGACGCUGAGGCGCGAAAGCGUGGGGAGCAAACAGG
rnacentral:rRNA from 1 species